GGGAUAUGGGAGGUGUGGGGUUGAAUAUCUAGGGCUGGGAGAAUCGGAAGGUAUUGGAGCUAUUUGGAGUGGCAGAGAUGGUGCAGGAGGCAGGUCAAGGAACUUGUAAUAGGGAGGUACAGUUAGGAUAUAGGUGUUGCUGCUUGGGGUGGUUAUGUGUGUAAGUAAUAAACGAAAGGGAAAUUGAGGAUUAAGGAGCCAGGAAGAUGUUGGGAGGAAAUCAAAGGUAGUGUAAGAAAGCAUGGUUGGAGGCCAACUUAUCAAUAUUAUCAAUAUUGAUAUUCGAAUAAAUAUUUAUUGAAUGGAUGAAUGUAAAAGGAAGUGGCAGGAAUGAGGAAACAAGAAAAGGAGAUGAAAAGAGGUAUUUUGAGAAAUCAGAGAGCAAAGAUGUAAAUGGAGAAACAAGAAGUAUUUAUCCAAAAACAUGUUAAGUUGCCUUCAAAGGGAGAAGGUUGCAUUGGGCUUAAUACUCUUGGAUUAAAGGAAGUUUAGUAAUUAAUAGAUUAGUAAUACUUGCUACUAGAGAUGCCAGGAUGCCAGAGAAUAGGUGGAUAAGAGGUAGGGAGGGCUGGAGCUUGAGAAUGAGAGAGGUUUUGUUUGUUUUUUUAAGAGAAAAAGAAUAGGGGAUCUGGAAAAAGGAAGGGAGAUCAAAGAUUAGGUGCUGGGGACUGAAAAAUAAUUUUCAUGUAUUAAUACUACCAAGGAUGAUUUGGGGAGGAAGACGGAGAAACAGCAAGGAUUAUAUUUUCCUUUGAAGAGUUGCUGGGACCUUUCCUAGGUUAGGAAUUGUGUCUUCUCUUAUACUGGUGGUAUAAGAACAGGAAAUAAUACUUAUUCCUCAAGGGACUAUCUGAGGAGAACCGGAGCCUUACCAUCAAACUUCGGAAACGGAAGCCAGAGAAAAAGGUAGAAUGGACAAGUGACACUGUGGACAAUGAACACAUGGGCCGCCGCUCAUCCAAAUGCUGCUGUAUUUAUGAGAAACCUCGGGCCUUUGGCGAGAGCUCCACGGAAAGUGAUGAGGAGGAAGAAGAGGGCUGUGGUCAUACACACUGUGUACGUGGCCACCGCAAAGGACGGCGUCGUGCAACCCUAGGACCGACCCCCACCACCCCUCCCCAGCCUCCUGACCCUUCCCAGCCCCCUCCAGGGCCAAUGCAGCACUAAAUCCCUCUCUCCUCCAGCAUUCCUGUGUCUGUCUGGCCCUAAAUGUAUCCAUGUGGCUACUUCUCCAGCCCCCUCCUUCCCUCUCUUCUGCCUGAUAGAGGGAAGAGGAAGAGGAGGACGAACAGAGAUCCUGAAAUUCUGACUUGCUGCUAUUCCAGAACCCAGCCUCCUGGGUUUCCCCAGUCCUCAUUUUUCCUCCCAAUACCCACCCUUCUCUCUCGAGGGAUCUAGGCACCUUGGUCCCAGUGUCUUCCUUUUGUUCUCACUGCCAAACUGCCUGUCCUGGGAUCUAGUUAUCUUGGCCCUGCACUCUCAACAUGAGUAGCGAACACUUAAAUUGGGUUUUCAACAGUCCCAGCUUUCACUGCCAGGGUCCCAGUCAGAUUCCAGGAAUUUGCGCCCUAACUUUGCUUGCUAAUCCUGGUUUAGAGCUAUCCCACUAAAAUAUUUAAUCCUAAUUCUUAGUCCUUGCCUGUGAGAUAUGAGGUCUUACAGGAGACCUCAGAGCUCCCAGCCCUUCUCCUCCUGCUAACCCUUCUCACACCCUCAAGAGGAGUUAGAAAAGAGGUCCUUGUCAUUCUCACCUCUUAUGGAAAAUGGAAUAAGAAAUAAUCAUAUCCUUUCUUCCCACCCUUCUCCUGUUAUUUAGGAUUUCUGACAAAGCUGGCUUGAGAUUGGUCACUUAGAGCCGACUGUCUCCUCUGCCUUUUGUUUUUCAGCUUCAGAGACAGAUCCAAUAUAGUCCCAGGGACCUGGGUCUCUGGGAGAGGAAGGAAGAGGGAGGGAGCAAAGAGAUUGGGGUAUGUCCCCUGUAGUACACUCUUACCUCUUACUUCCUAGACUUUGAUUUCUCCGGCAGCCCAGAUGUUCAGUUCUCUUGGCCCCUCUCUACCCCUUACUGGGAUCCGGUUUUCAUUUUCCGGUCCUUUUGCCAUACACAGUUACAGAGAUCAGUCAAAUCCAUACCACCACUGAGAUCUCAUUUAUUGCCACAGAUGCACAAAAUAAAUAACCCAAAAUCACAAAA
rnacentral:lncRNA from 1 species